GACGAACGCUGGCGGCGUGCUUAACACAUGCAAGUCGAACGGUAAGGCCCUUCGGGGUACACGAGUGGCGAACGGGUGAGUAACACGUGGGUGAUCUGCCCUGCACUUCGGGAUAAGCCUGGGAAACUGGGUCUAAUACCGGAUAGGACCACUGCCUGCAUGGGUGGUGGUGGAAAGCUUUUGCGGUGUGGGAUGGGCCCGCGGCCUAUCAGCUUGUUGGUGGGGUGAUGGCCUACCAAGGCGACGACGGGUAGCCGGCCUGAGAGGGUGACCGGCCAUACUGGGACUGAGAUACGGCCCAGACUCCUACGGGAGGCAGCAGUGGGGAAUAUUGCACAAUGGGCGCAAGCCUGAUGCAGCGACGCCGCGUGAGGGAUGACGGCCUCGGGUUGUAAACCUCUUUCAGCACCGACGAAGCGCAAGUGACGGUAGGUGCAGAAGAAGGACCGGCCAACUACGUGCCAGCCGCCGCGGUAA
rnacentral:rRNA from 1 species